GACGAACGCUGGCGGCGUGCUUAACACAUGCAAGUCGAACGGAAAGGCCCUGCUUUUGUGGGGUGCUCGAGUGGCGAACGGGUGAGUAACCCGUGAGUAACCUGCCCUUGACUUUGGGAUAACUUCAGGAAACUGGGGCUAAUACCGGAUAGGAGCUCCUGCUGCAUGGUGGGGGUUGGAAAGUUUCGGCGGUUGGGGAUGGACUCGCGGCUUAUCAGCUUGUUGGUGGGGUAGUGGCUUACCAAGGCUUUGACGGGUAGCCGGCCUGAGAGGGUGACCGGCCACAUUGGGACUGAGAGACGGCCCAGACUCCUACGGUAGGCAGCAGUGGGGAAUAUUGCACAAUGGGCGGAAGCCUGAUGCAGCAACGCCGCGUGCGGGAUGACGGCCUUCGGGUUGUAAACCGCUUUCGCCUGUGACGAAGCGUGAGUGACGGUAAUGGGUAAAGAAGCACCGGCUAACUACGUG
rnacentral:rRNA from 1 species